GAUGAACGCUGGCGGCGUGCCUAAUACAUGCAAGUCGAGCGAACAGAUGAGGAGCUUGCUCCUCUGACGUUAGCGGCGGACGGGUGAGUAACACGUGGAUAACCUACCUAUAAGACUGGGAUAACUUCGGGAAACCGGAGCUAAUACCGGAUAAUAUAUUGAACCGCAUGGUUCAAUAGUGAAAGACGGUUUUGCUGUCACUUAUAGAUGGAUCCGCGCCGCAUUAGCUAGUUGGUAAGGUAACGGCUUACCAAGGCAACGAUGCGUAGCCGACCUGAGAGGGUGAUCGGCCACACUGGAACUGAGACACGGUCCAUACUCCUACGGGAGGCAGCAAUAGGGAAUCUUCCGCAAUGGGCGAAAGCCUGACGGAGCAACGCCGCGUGAGUGAUGAAGGUCUUCGGAUCGUAAAACUCUGUUAUUAGGGAAGAACAAAUGUGUAAGUAACUAUGCACGUCUUGACGGUACCUAAUCAGAAAGCCACGGCUAACUACGUG
rnacentral:rRNA from 1 species